rnacentral:pre_miRNA from 1 species
GGAUUCCUGGCAGAGUGAUUUGGUUGUGAUAUAAUGUAAAUCACAUUGCCAGGGAUUUCC